AUUUUCGAGACAGAUACAUACAUCUCUGAAUGGAUGCCAAGUUUUCUAGUGAAGAAAGAACAUUAGAAGUUGUGUCACUGUUGAAUUUGGUUUUCAAACGGAGACAAUUACAUCCAGAUAAAGUCUGUCAUAGGAUUCCCUGAAGCAUAAGAUGAGUAGAAGGCUUAGUAAGCAGGAACCUGGGAGGCACCAGUUAAACCAAGAAAAUUCUAUAGAAGGAAAAAGAAAUAGUUUACUUAUUUGUGUAACACUGUACUUCACUUUAAUAAAGCAGUAAUUCUAAAAACAG